GAACGCUAGCGGCAGGCCUAACACAUGCAAGUCGAGGGGCAUCGGGAUUGAAGCUUGCUUCAAUUGCCGGCGACCGGCGCACGGGUGCGUAACGCGUAUGUAACCUACCUAUAACAGGGGCAUAACACUGAGAAAUUGGUACUAAUUCCCCAUAAUAUUCGGAGAGGCAUCUCUCCGGGUUGAAAACUCCGGUGGUUAUAGAUGGACAUGCGUUGUAUUAGCUAGUUGGUGAGGUAACGGCUCACCAAGGCAACGAUACAUAGGGGGACUGAGAGGUUAACCCCCCACACUGGUACUGAGACACGGACCAGACUCCUACGGGAGGCAGCAGUGAGGAAUAUUGGUCAAUGGACGCAAGUCUGAACCAGCCAUGCCGCGUGCAGGAAGACGGCUCUAUGAGUUGUAAACUGCUUUUGUACGAGGGUAAACUCACCUACGUGUAGGUGACUGAAAGUAUCGUACGAAUAAGGAUCGGCUAACUCCGUGCCAGCAGCCGCGGUAAUACGGAGGAUUCAAGCGUUAUCCGGAUUUAUUGGGUUUAAAGGGUGCGUAGGCGGUUUGAUAAGUUAGAGGUGAAAUCCCGGGGCUUAACUCCGGAACUGCCUCUAAUACUGUUAGACUAGAGAGUAGUUGCGGUAGGCGGAAUGUAUGGUGUAGCGGUGAAAUGCUUAGAGAUCAUACAGAACACCGAUUGCGAAGGCAGCUUACCAAACUAUAUCUGACGUUGAGGCACGAAAGCGUGGGGAGCAAACAGGAUUAGAUACCCUGGUAGUCCACGCAGUAAACGAUGAUAACUCGUUGUCGGCGAUACACAGUCGGUGACUAAGCGAAAGCGAUAAGUUAUCCACCUGGGGAGUACGUUCGCAAGAAUGAAACUCAAAGGAAUUGACG
rnacentral:rRNA from 1 species